UUUGGUCUUGCGUUUUUAUUUUUCCGUUUGCAGGUACAACAAGCAGGGAAGGGCCGAGGGGAGGCAGAGCCCACCCGACGCUCUGUCCUCUGAGGCUGGGCUGGGGCCGAGGAGAGCCUGGUCUGCGCCACCUGCAGCCCCGAGCCACCUUGCAGUGGGCAGCUGGGGUCCAGGUCGGGGUGGCCCCCUCUGCAGGGGUCGGGGGGAACCUCAGCUCCCCCUGCCUCGGCCUCGUCUCCCUGGGUGCCCUGUACGCCUCUGUUCUCUGGCUCAGCAGACGACACUGGGGUUGGGCUGAGCAAGCCGCCCGGAGCCUCGGGGCUGCCAGCCGCAGGCAGGAGAGCUUAUGCAUGGGCUGCAGAGCCGGCGGAGCCCUGGGCCUGGGCCUCUGAUGGGGCCUCUGGACUCCUGUUCUGCGGGGGGCUGGGGAAUGGUAAUUGACAGGCAGCCUAGACGGGGCCUGCAGGGCACGGCAGCUGCAAACAGGCCGGCUGCGAGGAGCCCCCGGGGCUGGAAGAGGAUGUUCGUGGGAGAAGCAGCAGGUUCAGGAUGUGGCUGGAGAGCAGGCAGGGGCUGCGUGAGGGCGCUGGGGGAGGUUUGGGGUGGACUCUGGAAGGUUCCAGCCGGGAGGGGCCAUCCCAUCUAGCGCCGUCGUGAACAUGUGUUAAUUCCUCUUGUUUCCAUCACGUGGAAGGGAGGAGGGAGGCGGGGGGGGCCCACCUGUAGGAGCCACAGAAGCAGAUCGCCGCCCCCUGCAAGGGCUGCUCCCCCAGCGCAGCAAAGGCACCCCCCGCCCCCCACUCUGGCCCCUUUGCUCUCAGUCGUGCAGAGAGGUGGCACGACUGUCUCCUAGGAGUCCGGAAAGCAGGCCUCUGCGAGGCCAAAGGGACAAGAGUUCGGGAAUCGCCUGCCGCGGAGGUGGGCUCCUUUACCCGACGCGCCCCCUCGAGCCCCGGCCCGUGGGGAGGGCCCUGCCCUCAGGGGUCGCUCUGCCCAGGAUGUGCCCAAGCGGAACCAGCCCGUGUUCUCUGUCCAGUUAAGUGAUUCUGUCCGUUUGCUUGAUGGAUAUUUGACCAGAGGAGCUCGGAGCUAAAGGAAGCCGCGGCUCUGCAGGGAGGUGAAUUAUUCAUGAGGAGAGAGCAUCCCAGGAGGGCGAUACUCAGACGCUGGUUUUCAUUUCCUAAAAGGAUGGGGGUGUGGCAAGGAGGCUGGUGGGUGAUCUGGGAUCUGAGCCAGCGUCCGCGGCUGGCAAGCGUGCGGGGUGACGGCGCCCUUGCGCUGUGGGCCCCCAGGGGCCGCCGCUUGCGUCUCUGAUGAUGGGCAGCCGUCCGGGCAGGCGGGGGGGCACUGGGUGGGGAGGCGGGUCCUUCUGGCCCAUCUCAACAGCUGGUGGGGAAUGGGGCCGUCCCGGGAACCUGCCUCCGGCUCAGGUGGGACGGAGGGCCGGGCAUGAGGCCUCGGCCGCGGCUCGGGAGACGGGGCUACGUGAGGACCCAGGGGCUGGGCGGGAGGGCGGCGGGUUGGUGGGUGAGCAGGGCCAGGCCGUCCCCCGCGGCCCACAGUUGUGACGGAGGACAGACCUAGGGCUUCUCCCAGGAGGGCGUCCUGUUCCCAGAGCCCCCGCUAAAGCCUGGCGAGGGCCGCGGUACCCUCUGCCAGGCUGUUCAUGGCUUCGCUUUUCCUUUCAUUACAAAAUUAAUGUCUUCCUUUUAGAAGCUUGAGAGAGUGCUCACCGGCCGGAGGAGAGCAAUAAAACUCACUGGUGUUGCCGCUGCCCAGGUGAGUGCCGAGCCGGCGUCUACGGUGGCAUGUCAGAUACGCGUGGGGCUGUGGCAUGGAUGGCAUCUGACCCCUCCGUCUUCACAUCACAGUGAGUGUCCCCAGGAGCCUCGCUGCUUCCUGGCUGCCCCACGCGCUGCCUGCCGGGUGUGGACACUCGAGUCCAUCGACCCCCGGCCCUUGGACGGAUGCUCGGUCAUUUCCAGGCUUUCACUCUGAGUAACGCGGCAAUGAACACCUGCAGUCGUGGCCUCUGCCUCUUAUCCACCUGACCCUAACUGGGGACCCCCUCCUCAGCACAUGGUCUGGAUGGAGCCCACCGCUCUUGUGGCUCCAGACGUGGGUGCGUGAGGCAGGCCUGACCCAUCAUCCCGGUCAGAGGCGGGGCAGGAAUGGUUGUGUGGCCCGAGCGGAGCCAUCAGAGCCUUCCAGGGAAAGGGGCCCUCUCUGCUCCUGAGCUUACUGGGGUCCCCUCUGGGCCCCUCCGGAGGGAGAGCCACUGCAGGAACAGAGAGCCUCGGUGCGAGAGGGGCACUGGCCUGGCCACCCCUCUGGACUCCUGGCUGAGCUGGGCCCACAUCCUGGAUGCCUUGCGUGCGUCCACUGCUCCGGCCAGUAGUGCUCUUUGCUCGUCUGAGUGGGACACACCUGAGAGCAGACCUGGGUUGGCAGCUGGAGCAUCUGGACGGAAGCAAAAAUGGUCCCUGGCCCAGCUGCGGCUUGUGGCAGCACAAGAGGGGAGCCUGGACAGGUGCAGGGGUGGCGAGGGAGCAGGGCUGCAGUGGCAGAGUUUGCGUCUGUGCCCUCGCAGGGUCUGGACUUGGCCCAGGGCUGACUGCCCCCAGGUGUGGGUGGCCCAGCUCAGCCCACGUGUUUGCAGAAACGGAAGAAAAUACCGCCGUGCAGAAGAAGCCCCUUCCGGUGGCAGGGGUCCUGGCGGAAGAGGGGGGCUGUGUGCCCCUCAAGGUGGAAAAGCUGCUCUUCCCCAAACUGAGGCUGGGGUUGGGGGGGGUGCAAAACUGGAGCCCUCGGCCUCGCUGCUGCCACCCCAGCCUCCUGUGUCCGGCUUUGCUGUCGCACCUGGCCUCUGGUGGCAGCCUGGGGACUGAGACGUGGGGUCCCUCCGCCCAGCCUGUGCCCCCUCGUCUCUGUGCCUCUGGCCUGGGCAGGGCUUCGGGGCUGCUGCUGAGAGCCGGACACCCCGGGCCAGGGUCUGGGUCAGAGGUCGAGCCCCCGCUUCUCCCCCAUUGCAGCCCCACAGUCGAGUGACAGUGACCAACCCACAGAGACCCUCGGUUCCUCCAACAAGUCACGGUCCCCCAGCCCUGGCGGCCUGGGGCCUCCCCGUCCUCCAUGGGAUGCGCCCGGCUAAAUGCCAUCCUUCUGCGCACUCCGCCUGGGGCCCUGAGGCAGUGAGCCAGAAAUGCUGGGGUGCCCAGUGGACUGGACAUGCCCACAUGCCCCCUCAACCGUCCCGCUGGGCUGUCCCGGCUGGAGCCCAGGGCCUUGUCCCCAACGCUUCCUGGACGAGGCCUGGUCUGUGGUUUCUGUGGCCCAGAGGACUUCACACGGGCCUGAGCUGCUCCAUCCUGACCACCUGCAGGUCACAGGUCACCAGGGGCCGCGGUGACCUGGCCGCCUCCACGUGGUGGGGGUUUUUGGCCUUCCUGGGAGUGGUGUAGUGCCGCCGGACCACCUUCUGCCAUCAAUGCACCUGCGACCCGGCUGGGACCUCGCAGGACGUGCCCCCAUGGCCCACGCGAGAGCCAGGAGAAAGCCCUGAAUGAGGAACAGGGAUCCAGCUGGGAGGGGGCAGAGGGGCCCUAGGCGGAGGCAGAGGGAGAGUGGCCGGAAGGAACGUGAUGGCUGUGAAGCUCCAGCCCCGAGCCUCCAGCUUGGGAGGUGAGGGAGGAGGGGAUGGGGAGGGGAGGGGGGACGAAGGGGGAGGUGUACGGGGCGGGGGGAGGGGAGAGGGGAGGGGAGGUGUGGGAAGAGGCCACAGGGGAAGGGGCCUCGGGGGAGGGGACAGAGACAGCAGUGAAACAGCUAACGGGCUGCUCCUCGCAGGGUCAGUGGAGACGGAAGAGAAGGAAACCAGCCAGGGCGCUGGGCCGAGGGCGCUUCCCACGGCCCCGAGUCAGGCUGAGCGCAUGUGGGCAGGGGGACAGGCAGGGACGGAGAGCCACGGGGCCGCGUCGAUGACCCAGAAGAGCCGUGGCUGCUCAGACCUCACACCUGGCGCAGGUGAAGCGCGGACAAGACAAGGAAAAGCCAAGACGGCCCCCCGUGCUCGGCCCCGACCCGCCCAGCGCCCGGGUCCAGAGCGACGUCUGGGUCCUGUCCUCCCACCACAGCUCAGCCCGAUGCUCAGCAAAGCCUUUGUCGCCAGAUACGCGUCAGAGACAGGCCGCCAGGGAGCAGGGGGACCUGAAGCCCCUCCGGGCCCACGUCCUCCCUGGAAGCCGGGUCUGGGCAUGGAGGGUUCAAGCCCCCCAGCCAUCCCCUCCUGUCCCCCAGCGCCGGUGCCAAAGUCAGCAUCGAGCGGAAGGAGCGCGGCCUUAUCUGUGGCUCUGUUUUCCUUGCGGCUCGCGCGCCCCGCUGGCUGCACACUCUCCCCCCGGCCGCCCUCCAACAUUCCCAGACAUUCUUCAGGCCCCUGGGCUCCUGGCAUCCUGGCGGCGGUGCUGGGAAGCGGCCGGGCUCCGGCUCCCACACGCCCCGCUCUGUCGCUGCCGGGGCUCCCGAGGCGCCCUUGGUCACGGCUCUGUUUUUGUGGGCAGCACACCCAGCCUCCCACGCUGUCCCCAGGCCGCCCCUCCAGUUGCUGGGGUUGACCCGCGAGGCCCUUGCGUGGGCCACCGUGCCGUGGGCAGACGGGGGACGGGCUCUGAGCAGGCAGCCGCUGGCCAGGGUGGCCCAGGAGGCGGGGUGGGCACCAGUGCUUGGGCGGUGGGGGUGGCUAACCCUCCCUCCCUGUGCCCGCAUCCCACAGAUGGAGACAGGCUUCCAGGUGGUGGCGUGGCGGCUGCACAGGCCCCCGGGGGAGGGCCUUUGGAAAGGGUCUGAGGUCUCAGGACGAUGUGGGAACAAACAGCCACAGACGUGCUCCGGACGGGAAGACGCGGCCAGCCAGGGCGUGUUCUGCUCCAACAGGGAGAAGUUCAGCCACUCGUGUGGGCCCGUCUGGGUCCCUCUCCACGGGACGAGCCAGGGCAUCCGCGUCAGACACGCCACGUCACCACCGCCUCCCCACGGACCCUGGUGUCUGACCUCACAUCGGCACAGCAAGGGACCAUCUGGGCCAGCCUGGGCCUGGACCCUCAGCCCGUGACAUCUGUGUGGGGCUGAUGGGGACAGAGAGCCUUGCCAAUCUA
rnacentral:lncRNA from 1 species